rnacentral:rRNA from 1 species
AUACGUAGGGCGCAAGCGUUAUCCGGAAUUAUUGGGCGUAAAGAGCUCGUAGGCGGUUUGUCGCGUCUGCUGUGAAAUCCGGAGGCUCAACCUCCGGCCUGCAGUGGGUACGGGCAGACUAGAGUGCGGUAGGGGAGAUUGGAAUUCCUGGUGUAGCGGUGGAAUGCGCAGAUAUCAGGAGGAACACCGAUGGCGAAGGCAGAUCUCUGGGCCGUAACUGACGCUGAGGAGCGAAAGGGUGGGGAGCAAACAGGCUUAGAUACCCUGGUAGUCCACCCCGUAAACGUUGGGAACUAGUUGUGGGGUCCAUUCCACGGAUUCCGUGACGCAGCUAACGCAUUAAGUUCCCCGCCUGGGGAGUACGGCCGCAAGGCUAAA